GCUGGAGACCAAGAAGCUGGACUGCGAGUUGAUGAAGGCCAUGAUCGAGCAGUGGUGGUCAAGUACCCACUCAUUCCACCUUCUAGUCGACGAGAUGACGAUUACCCUCCUGUGCUUCUAUUCCUUGGCUGGGGUAUUGUUCGGUGAUCGUCCCCUUGUUCUGCCAAAGACUUUGGAUCCGGAGGAUUUCUUUGCCUUGACUGGCAUUCGGACGGCCCAUAGGAUGAUUCAGCUGGCAGACCUAUAGGACGGUGGACGACCUCACGAGGUUCCUUGGACCCUAUCAAGUCCCUGUAGUGCCUACGCUCCUUCCUCCUCUACACUAUAGGAUAGUGUUUAUUCAGCAACUCUUGUGGUGACGUGGACAUCCAUUUGGUGCACCUCCUCCAGGACCUCGAUGGGAUUAACUCCUUCAAUUGGGGCGGAGCGGCAUACGCUUAUUUGUUGGGGACCUUGGAUCAUCUGGCGUACAGGGACCGUAACAUUUACAGUUCGGGUUGCAUCAUCCAACAUCUAGGAGAUAGGGGACAAGUGCAUCAUGAGGGGGCGUUCAACUCUUCCUAGGGGAUCCUUUUCCCGUUCUCUAUUGAAUGGUCUUAUGAUGGUGAACUAUAGACCCUUCUAGAGGAUCGAGUUCCUCGACCCAGAUGAGUUGGAGAGGGCCAUGUACUUGACCUGACAGAGAGUAUUAUUUCAGGGCCAUUUGGGCAGGGCUUGGUAUUUGAGAGAGCGGUUCACCCCCUAAUUAUCGGAUGAGGCCGUUGUGUCCCUUCUUGUCUCCCUCCUCCCACCAUGCAUUGCUCGGAGGAUAUUCCUGAGGGUGAGGCAGAGGAGAUCACCGAGGGAGUAUGGGAUGAUGACUUCUUGGAUAUGGCAGGGAUUAUGACUGCUUUCUGGAAACGAAGGCAAUCUGUGUGCCCUUGACCCCAGAGGGUCCCAUGGUGCAUUGGAGGACAAGAGAGAUGGCCCCUCUUCCCCCUCGGCCUCAGCCAGUCGCCUUUGGUUCUUUUGCUGCAGAGUCAUCUUCCGUCAAGGGUAGACCAGUGCACAAUAUAGCUAUCACUUCUUUCCCAGGGUUCCCCUCUUGGACUUAUCCUAACGCAGUUAACCCUUUGGCUCCUAGGGAUAUGCCGAGAAGUUUGGAGUGGGAUGCUUUCAUUGGCCUUCCGAUUCCAUAUGACUGUGUAAGUUAAAAUCCCCUUUUUUUUUUUUUUGCUGAUAUAAUUCUUCUCAGGUCUCCCCGGAGGCGUAUGCUGAGAUCCCGCGCAUGCACUAUAGCUUAUGCUCGGAGCUGUAUGAUAGAGACUAGCAAGUGCGGGUCACGGACACACAACUCAAGUCUCAGAUUGAUCAAAUUUGCAACUUGGAGGACCAGCUAGCGGCAUUGCAAGUGAAGUAUGACAAUACGAUGGUCUCAAUGGAUGACCAUGUUGGACCGAGUAAUGGGACUAGGGCAGCUCAUGAUGAAGGACCCUUAUAGCCAUUCCCCCUACUUCCCUUCUAUUCUUAUCAUUCCCGCACAGUUUGGAAAAAGCACGGAUCUUUUUUUCUUUUUUCUUUUUGUCUUUCUUUUUCUUCCACCCCUCUUAUUAUCUUUCAUGAUUUUUAUUUUGUAUGCCAUUUUUGGAAAUUUUAUUCCUGAAAUGAAGAUUUGAU